UUUACCCUCUUGUUGUUGCUGCACAUCCCCAAGAGGCCAACCAAUUAGCUUUAGGGUUGACAGAUGGGUCUGUUAAAGUGUUGGAACCCACAGAAUCAGAGAGGAAAUGGGGAUCAACUCCUCCAGUGGAUAAUGGGAUGCUAAAUGGCAGGACUACAUCAUCAUCCACAACAAGCAACCACACGCCGGAUCAGUUGCAGAGAUGAAAUUCCUUGUAUUCUACUUAGGUUGCAUCUGUAAUUUACCAAUACAGAAUUUAGGUUCCUAGUCCCCGUAUGUUCCUUAUCAAAGGUAACUUAGGACAUUAAUGAUUAAAGUUGCUCAUUCUUGUAUACUAAUGUGUAGUUAGCAGUAGCUAUUUGAUUUUAGCCGCGCCCCCAAACCCCACACCCAC
rnacentral:misc_RNA from 1 species